AUGCAUUUCGGUGCACAAAAUGCUGAGCCGUUGAGUGUGCCCGUGUUAAUGUUGAGUGUGCCCGUGUUAAUGUUGGUUGUGCCAGUGUUAAUGUUGAGUGUGCCAGUGUUAAUGUUGAGUGUGCCAGUGUUAAUGUUGGUUGUGCCAGUGUUAAUGUUGAUUGUGCCCGUGUUAAUCAUGAGUGUGCCAGUGUUAAUGUUGAUUGUGCCAGUGUUAAUGUUGGUUGUGCCAGUGUUAAUGUUGAUUGUGCCAGUGUUAAUGUUGAGUGUGCCAGUGUUAAUGUUGAGUGUGCCAGUGUUAAUGUUGAUUGUGCCAGUGUUAAUGUUGGUUGUGCCAGUGUUAAUGUUGAGUGUGCCAGUGUUAAUGUUGGUUGUGCCAGUGUUAAUGUUGAUUGUGCCAGUGUUAAUGUUGAGUGUGCCAGUGUUAAUGUUGAGUGUGCCAGUGUUAAUGUUGAGUGUGCCAGUGUUAAUGUUGAGUGUGCCAGUGUUAAUGUUGGUUGUGCCAGUGUUAAUGUUGGUUGUGCCAGUGUUAAUGUUGAGUGUGCCAGUGUUAAUGUUGAGUGUGCCAGUGUUAAUGUUGAUUGUGCCAGUGUUAAUGUUGAGUGUGCCAGUGUUAAUGUUGAGUGUGCCAGUGUUAAUGUUGAGUGUGCCAGUGUUAAUGUUGAGUGUGCCAGUGUUAAUGUUGAGUGUGCCAGUGUUAAUGUUGAGGGUGCCAGUGUUAAUGUUGAGGGUGCCAGUGUUAAUGUUGAGUGUGCCAGUGUUAAUGUUGGUUGUGCCAGUGUUAAUGUUGAUUGUGCCAGUGUUAAUGUUGGUUGUGCCAGUGUUAAUGUUGAGUGUGCCAGUGUUAAUGUUGAGUGUGCCAGUGUUAAUGUUGAGUGUGCCCGUGUUAAUGUUGAGGGUGCCAGUGUUAAUGUUGAGUGUGCCCGUGUUAAUGUUGAUUGUGCCAGUGUUAAUGUUGGUUGCCUUUUCCCCUCAGAGCAUGGCACACUAUGAAACAUCACAUAUUAGACACUCAAUAUUACCAAAUGUAAUUUAA
rnacentral:lncRNA from 1 species